rnacentral:rRNA from 1 species
GGACGAACGCUGGCGGCGUGCUUAACACAUGCAAGUCGAACGGAAAGGCCCUGCUUUUGUGGGGUGCUCGAGUGGCGAACGGGUGAGUAACACGUGAGUAACCUGCCCUUGACUUUGGGAUAACUUCAGGAAACUGGGGCUAAUACCGGAUAGGAGCUCCUGCUGCAUGGUGGGGGUUGGAAAGUUUCGGCGGUUGGGGAUGGACUCGCGGCUUAUCAGCUUGUUGGUGGGGUAGUGGCUUACCAAGGCUUUGACGGGUAGCCGGCCUGAGAGGGUGACCGGCCACAUUGGGACUGAGAUACGGCCCAGACUCCUACGGGAGGCAGCAGUGGGGAAUAUUGCACAAUGGGCGGAAGCCUGAUGCAGCAACGCCGCGUGCGGGAUGACGGCCUUCGGGUUGUAAACCGCUUUCGCCUGUGACGAAGCGUGAGUGACGGUAAUGGGUAAAGAAGCACCGGCUAACUACGU